UUUCAUUUUACUCUAUUGUGGCCUUGUUAGUAUAAAAUGGAGAUAAUAAUAAUAUCUUCUCCAGAGGUUUCUUGUGAAGAUUAUGUGGAAUGCAAGUCUCCAUAAACUUUCCUUGCACUAACUGUUUGGAAUGACGACAGCUGGACCAGUCUGGACAAGUGGAGAUGAAUCUGUUGCUUUUUUUUAGGUAAGUAACAAAACCUGCCCUUCACUGUCUCAGCUUUCAGACUUCAGAUGAAAUUCAGAGAUCCAGCAAAAGUCUCACUGCAUUCUGUACAGACCUCUCAUGGCU
rnacentral:lncRNA from 1 species